rnacentral:rRNA from 1 species
CAGUACCGUGAGGGAAAGGUGAAAAGCACCCCGGGAGGGGAGUGAAAUAGAACCUGAAACCGUGUGCCUACAACAAGUUCGAGCCCGUUAAUGGGUGAGAGCGUGCCUUUUGUAGAAUGAACCGGCGAGUUACGAUAUGAUGCGAGGUUAAGUUGAAGAGACGGAGCCGUAGGGAAACCGAGUCUGAAUAGGGCGCAUUAGUAUCAUGUCGUAGACCCGAAACCAUGUGACCUACCCAUGAGCAGGUUGAAGGUGAGGUAAAACUCACUGGAGGACCGAACCAGGGCACGUUGAAAAGUGCUUGGAUGACUUGUGGGUAGCGGAGAAAUUCCAAACGAACUUGGAGAUAGCUGGUUCUCUCCGAAAUAGCUUUAGGGCUAGCGUCGACAUUGAGAUUCUUGGAGGUAGAGCACUGUUUGGGUGAGGGGUCCAUCCCGGAUUACCAAUCUCAGAUAAACUCCGAAUGCCAAUGAAUUAUGGUCGGCAGUCAGACUGCGAGUGCUAAGAUCCGUAGUCGAAAGGGAAACAGCCCAGACCACCAGCUAAGGUCCCAAAAUAAUUGUUAAGUGGAAAAGGAUGUGGGGUUGCACAGACAACUAGGAUGUUAGCUUAGAAGCAGCUAUUCAUUCAAAGAGUGCGUAAUAGCUCACUAGUCGAGUGACCCUGCGCCGAAAAUGUACCGGGGCUAAAACAAUUUACCGAAGCUGUGGAUACCUUUAUAGGUAUGGUAGGAGAGCGUUCUAUGUGUGGAGAAGGUGUACCGUGAGGAGCGCUGGAACGCAUAGAAGUGAGAAUGCCGGUAUGAGUAGCGAAAGACAGGUGAGAAUCCUGUCCACCGUAAGACUAAGGUUUCCAGGGGAAGGCUCGUCCGCCCUGGGUUAGUCGGGACCUAAGGAGAGACCGAAAGGUGUAUCCGAUGGACAACAGGUUGAUAUUCCUGUACUAGAGUAUGUAGUGAAGGAGGGACGCAGUAGGCUAACUAAAGCGUGCGACUGGAAGUGCACGUCUAAGCAGUGAGGUGUGAAUUGAGUUAAAUGCUUAAUUCUAUAACAUUGAGCUGUGAUGGGGAGCGAAGUUUAGUAGCGAAGUUAGUGACGUCACACUGCCAAGAAAAGCUUCUAGCGUUAAUCAUACUCUACCCGUACCGCAAACCGACACAGGUAGUCGAGGCGAGUAGCCUCAGGUGAGCGAGAGAACUCUCGUUAAGGAACUCGGCAAAAUGACCCCGUAACUUCGGGAGAAGGGGUGCUGGCUUAAAGUCAGCCGCAGUGAAUAGGCCCAAGCAACUGUUUAUCAAAAACACAGCUCUCUGCUAAAUCGUAAGAUGAUGUAUAGGGGGUGACGCCUGCCCGGUGCUGGAAGGUUAAGAGGAGUGCUUAGCGUAAGCGAAGGUAUGAAUUGAAGCCCCAGUAAACGGCGGCCGUAACUAUAACGGUCCUAAGGUAGCGAAAUUCCUUGUCGGGUAAGUUCCGACCCGCACGAAAGGCGUAAUGAUUUGGGCACUGUCUCAACGAGAGACUCGGUGAAAUUUUAGUACCUGUGAAGAUGCAGGUUACCCGCGACAGGACGGAAAGACCCCAUGGAGCUUUACUGCAGUUUGAUAUUGAGUGUCUGUGCCACAUGUACAGGAUAGGUAGGAGCCAUAGAGAUCGGGACGCCAGUUUCGAUGGAGGCGUUGUUGGGAUACUACCCUUGUGUUAUGGCUACUCUAACCCAGAUAGGUUAUCCCUAUCGGAGACAGUGUCUGACGGGCAGUUUGACUGGGGCGGUCGCCUCCUAAAAGGUAACGGAGGCGCCCAAAGGUUCCCUCAGAAUGGUUGGAAAUCAUUCGCAGAGUGUAAAGGUAUAAGGGAGCUUGACUGCGAGAGCUACAACUCGAGCAGGGACGAAAGUCGGGCUUAGUGAUCCGGUGGUUCCGUAUGGAAGGGCCAUCGCUCAACGGAUAAAAGCUACCCUGGGGAUAACAGGCUUAUCUCCCCCAAGAGUUCACAUCGACGGGGAGGUUUGGCACCUCGAUGUCGGCUCGUCGCAUCCUGGGGCUGAAGCAGGUCCCAAGGGUUUGGCUGUUCGCCAAUUAAAGCGGCACGCGAGCUGGGUUCAGAACGUCGUGAGACAGUUCGGUCCCUAUCCGUCGCGGGCGUAGGAAAUUUGAGAGGAUCUGCUCCUAGUACGAGAGGACCAGAGUGGACUUACCGCUGGUGUACCAGUUGUCUCGCCAGAGGCAUCGCUGGGUAGCUAUGUAGGGAAGGGAUAAACGCUGAAAGCAUCUAAGUGUGAAACCCACCUCAAGAUGAGAUUUCCCAUGAUUUU